rnacentral:rRNA from 1 species
GACGAACGCUGGCGGCGUGCUUAACACAUGCAAGUCGAACGGUGAACGAGGGAGCUUGCUCCCUCCGGAUCAGUGGCGAACGGGUGAGUAACACGUGAGCAAUCUGCCCCGAACUCUGGGAUAAGCGUUGGAAACGACGUCUAAUACCGGAUACGACGCGGGAGGGCAUCCUCUCCGCGUGGAAAGAACUUCGGUUCGGGAUGAGCUCGCGGCCUAUCAGCUUGUUGGUGAGGUAACGGCUCACCAAGGCGACGACGGGUAGCCGGCCUGAGAGGGUGACCGGCCACACUGGGACUGAGACACGGCCCAGACUCCUACGGGAGGCAGCAGUGGGGAAUAUUGCACAAUGGGCGCAAGCCUGAUGCAGCAACGCCGCGUGAGGGACGACAGCCUUCGGGUUGUAAACCUCUUUUAGCAGGGAAGAAGCGAAAGUGACGGUACCUGCAGAAAAAGCACCGGCUAACUACGUG